rnacentral:rRNA from 1 species
AGAGUUUGAUCAUGGCUCAGGACGAACGCUGGCGGUGUGCUUCACACAUGCAAGUCGAACGGGAUAGCAAUAUCCAGUGGCGGACGGGUGAGUAACGCGUGGGAAUCUGCCUUUAGAUGGGGGAUAGCAGGCCGAAAGGCCUAUUAAUACCGCAUAUGCCGCAAGGUAAAAGGAGCAAUCCGUCUGAAGAUGAGCCCGCGUCCGAUUAGCUAGUUGGUAGGGUAAAGGCCUACCAAGGCUACGAUCGGUAGGUGGUCUGAGAGGAUGAUCACCCACAAUGGGACUGAGACACGGCCCAUACUCCUACGGGAGGCAGCAGUGGGGAAUUUUGUGCAAUGGGCGAAAGCCUGACACAGCGACACCGCGUGAGCGAAGAAGCCCUUUGGGGUGUAAAGCUCUGUCGUGAGGGACGAAUAAAUGACGGUACCUCAAGAGGAAGCAUCGGCUAACUACGUGCCAGCAGCCGCGGUAAGACGUAGGAUGCAAGCGUUGUCCGGAUUUAUUGGGCGUAAAGAGUUCGUAGGCGGUUUGCUAAGUCUGGUGUUAAAGGCGCGGGCCCAACCCGUGUACUGCACUGGAUACUGGCAGACUCGAGUAUGGUAGAGGUAAGUGGAAUUCCCAGUGUAGCGGUGAAAUGCGUAGAUAUUGGGAAGAACACCGGUGGCGCAAGCGACUUACUGGGCCAUUACUGACGCUGAGGAACGAAAGCUAGGGGAGCGAAUGGGAUUAGAUACCCCAGUAGUCCUAGCCGUAAACGAUGGAUACUAGGCGUAUCGGGUAUCGACCCCUGAUGUGCCGCAGCUAACGCGAUAAGUAUCCCGCCUGAGUAGUACGGCCGCAAGGUUGAAACUCAAAGGAAUUGACGGG